rnacentral:lncRNA from 1 species
GUCGUGGGCUAUCCAGGGUCAGGCGGAGUUUGUUGCGAAGAGUAGUGGAGUAGACCCGUGGCUAACACCGAAGCACGCCAUGUGGAGUCUGCUGCAGGGAGUGGAGCGGCGUCCGUUGUCGCGACUUGCCAGGGGAUGGAAGAAUUGCGCGGUAUCCAUCGCAGGAAAUGGAGCAGUGCUGUAGCCGUUACUGCGGCCUGCCAGGGAGUAAUGGAGCCACGUAGGAUCUGCCGUAGGGAGUAAUGGAGCCGCGUAGGAUUC